rnacentral:tRNA from 23 species
AGUAAGGUCAGCUAAUUAAGCUCUUGGGCCCAUACCCCAAAUAUGUUGGUUAAACUCCUUCCUUUGCUA